rnacentral:tRNA from 1 species
GGAGAGGUUGUGGCUUAGUGGUAGAGUAUCUGCUUGGCUUGCAGAACGUCACAGGUUCAGUUCUGGCCAUCUCCA